CCGAGUGGUGAUUUAAAUAAUACAGAUUCGUUUCCUGUUUGAUAGAUGACUGUGCUGAGGCACAUUGCCAGUGACCUAUAUGCCAGCCCUCAUACAUCUUUCAGAAUACGUGAUCCCGUGGUAAAAAGUUUGUCACAAGUCUACAUACUGCUGCCCUGCCUACGUUUGCCAAGUUUCUCUUGAGCUUCUUCACCUCAUGACUUUUACUGUGAUCUUCAUAUUGUUAAAUUGGAGGAACUUGCAUAUAAAAUAUGUUUAGCA